GUCCCUGUGCACAGUAUACAACAAAAUGAGUAUAUGAAUCCAAAUGAAAUAUCUCCACAGUUGCAGUUUCCUUCUAAAGAAAGGAAGUGGGCGCUUGGGCUUCAGGAGGGAUUGCAAUCUUGAUGAACUAGCCUAGUAAUCUGGCCAUAAAAAAUCACCAGCUCAGAUGUCCUACACAUGCUAGUUUGCCACAUGCCCAUAUAUAGAGGUGUGCCUGUGGCUAUCCUGGAAAUGCACCCAAUACUACUCUAUGCAUGAAUGGCUUCUCUACUGAUGGGCCUUCUAUUGUCGAAACUGAUGGAGUUGGCAGCGGAUCAGAUAAUGCUGUUAAGUUUGAAAUGCGGGUAAUCUGGUGCCACUUCAUGGCUCAGUUUCAUCAUUUGGCUCGAUGGUUGUGCUGAAAAUGACCAAAGUGUACCUGAGCUUCUUUGGAAUGACUUUGUUCGUAAACAACUUGGAUUGUUCUUUUUCAGUGACUGUUGAUUUAAUGCCAAUCUUGCAAAAUAUAGAAAAUUAUCACUUGCACGUGUUUGGAUAUGUGGAAUCCCUGGGUUUUUUAAAGAAAAUAAUAUCCAAUGGUAAUUUCCUGCUAAUUGUAGAAAAUUGGAUACGGAUCCUAGAAAAUGGGGCUGUGUUUGGGUAUCAAGUGGAAUUCUCGAAUUCAUUAGACAACAGUUACCUCAUUUCUUGUGCCCAAGAAUUCUGAUCAUGGAUAAGAGUGAUUAUUACUAUGUCAAGGUCACGUAUCCAAAUAGCCCAAUUGUCUUGUCAGUGGAAAACAAUUUCUAUUUCCCCAUGGAUUCUGUGUAUCCAAACAUGCCUGAACACAUGUACAAGAUUUGAACCAUUCCUCUGGUAGGCCUUACCAUGGAUGGGCAUAGACUGAAAAUCACACCACAGACAACCCAACCCUUCCACUGGAG